rnacentral:tRNA from 1 species
GCCCCCGUAGCUCAGUAGGAUAGAGCGCCGGAUUCCUAAUCCGUAGGCCACAGGUUCGAGCCCUGUCGGGGGCA